AUACUGAUGUGGAUAGAAGAUACAUUGGCUGAUUGUGAGUCAACUCUGUAUCUGAUCUACAGCUGCUGAGAAAGCUAACUGAUUGACCCUAUCAUUAGGCCUCUGCAGCCACUUCCUCCUACGUAAAUGGGCAGAUGGAUUCCUAGUUGUUUUCCUGUGGUCACCAGUGCAACUGAGGGACCCAUCUGAGUGACAGCUAAGGUUAACUGUCUGGACAGCUGUAAGUCAAGCCUUCAAGACACACUGCUUUAUCUGAUUGGUCUCAGUCUUGAUCUGGCACAUGAAAGGAAAUGUGAGGAAGUUUCAAGCAGAGAUCAUUUUGCAAGUCCAAAGAUGAGGGUCUUUGUUUCAUCUCUGGAGGAAGAUGGAGGAAAUCCACACAGGAAAAAUCCACCAAGGGAUAUUUAACAAAAAGACAACAUCUGACUUGAAGUUCCUGAGCCAGAAAUUGCUGGAAGCUGGGAGAGGACAC